UACGAAGGGGGCUAGCGUUGCUCGGAAUCACUGGGCGUAAAGCGCACGUAGGCGGCUUCUUAAGUCAGGGGUGAAAUCCUGGGGCUCAACCCCAGAACUGCCCUUGAUACUGAGGAGCUUGAGUCCGGGAGAGGUGAGUGGAACUCCGAGUGUAGAGGUGAAAUUCGUAGAUAUUCGGAAGAACACCAGUGGCGAAGGCGGCUCACUGGCCCGGUACUGACGCUGAGGCGCGAAAGCUAGGGGAGCAAACGGG
rnacentral:rRNA from 1 species